rnacentral:rRNA from 1 species
GAUAAGGUUAAGUGAAUAAGGGCGCACGGUGGAUGCCUUGGCACUAGGAGCCGAUGAAGGACGGGACUAACACCGAUAUGCUUUGGGGAGCUGUAAGUAAGCUAUGAUCCAGAGAUUUCCGAAUGGGGGAACCCAAUAUCUUUUAUAGGAUAUUACUUUUCAGUGAAUACAUAGCUGAUUAGAGGUAGACGCAGAGAACUGAAACAUCUUAGUACCUGCAGGAAGAGAAAGAAAAUUCGAUUCCCUGAGUAGCGGCGAGCGAAACGGGAAGAGCCCAAACCAACAAGCUUGCUUGUUGGGGUUGUAGGACUCCAAUAUGGUAGUCUGUUAGUAUAGUUGAAGGAUUUGGAAAAUUCCGCUAAAGAGGGUGAAAGCCCCGUAGACGAAAUGCUAACAACACCUAGGAGGAUCCUGAGUACGGCGGAACACGAGAAAUUCCGUCGGAAUCCGCGGGGACCAUCCCGCAAGGCUAAAUACUCCCUAGUGACCGAUAGUGAACCAGUACCGUGAGGGAAAGGUGAAAAGCACCCCGGAAGGGGAGUGAAAUAGAUCCUGAAACCGUGUGCCUACAACAAGUCAAAGCUCGUUAAUGAGUGAUGGCGUGCCUUUUGUAGAAUGAACCGGCGAGUUACGAUUGCAUGCGAGGUUAAGUCGAAGA